AUGCAGUUAAAGUCAAUAUUAUGUGCUCUCCAUCCAUUGAUCUUAGCUACUUCUGCCCUCAGAAGUAUGCAACCACUUACAUCCACCAUAUUCACUAUGUGCUACUUCUGUUCCUAGAAGUACCACCCACACAUACGCACUACACUCUAUGUUGUUUCUAUCCUCGAGACAUGCACUUAUGUUGCUCCUACCCUAGAAGUACUCAUUCCUCUAUUCAUAACCCACACACAUUCCACAUCCACUUAGAAAAUGUUGUACUCCUACAAUGGGAGAAGACACCCAAAAAUAUCCAUUAUAUCUUAUUCUACUUAUCCAAUAAAGCUCCAGUUAUCUUAGCUGAUACUCCCUACUCUUAUCAUUGCAUUAAAAGGGAUGGCUGAUCUCUAAAAAAGAGAAAAAGAAGAGAAAAUAAAAGAAAGAGGACAAAAGUCGUAGUGCAAAAGAAAGAAAGACAG
rnacentral:lncRNA from 1 species